CACUUUCCUAGAAUAGACCGUACUUUUGCAUUGUUUCGUGUGUGUGUAUGUAUAUACACAGGCUUAUGCGACACAUUCGUUACGUCUAUCGUUACGAUCUCAAGAAGUCUGUUAAUUUCACGUUCAUUAGUCACGACGAGGUAUCCGGUGAGGAACGAGGCGCGCCUCGGAGCGAGCGUGUGCAUAAUUAAAAACGAAGGUUUCGUUAAUUAAAUUUCGUUGCAUCGACCUCCCCCCGAUUGUUCUCUUGUAAAAUAUCUCCGCACUUUGUUCGAAGGAAAGAAGAAAAUUUAUUUGCCCAUCGAUAAGUUCAACGCUUGAGAAUUUCCAGCGACGAGCCGUUAUCGAAAAACAUAACUAAUGUCCUCGUCAUCCGCAGCGAAUUUUCGUCGUUGAAAAGGAAGAGGAGGAGAAGGAGAAGGAGGAGGGGAAAAAAAACCAUUUUCGUUCCUCUCCUCCGCGUCGUGAGCCGCGGUACACAAGGUGGCGAGGGUACGUCAACGACUUAAAUCGAUAUCCAACGAUGUCGUGCCUCUCUCGUAGCAAAGUCAUCCUAAAGAAACGGUGGGCAAUUAAUCAUACGGACGCGAACAGAAGCCGUGAUAAUAAAUGCACGAGGGCGGACUGCGUGCGCGGCGAGAGAGAUAUAUAGUUGGGAGAAGGACUCGAAUGAGGGGGAGGCUGACGUUUCCGGAUAGGGUGACAAUCAGAAUGACACCGCGUAUCCUUUGUAACCCAGUAAUUAGUUUCCUCUGUUAUGCGUGUCCUCUAUCUAGUUACCUCCUCUAGUCAUUGGGGUACAGCAUGAUAUGAAACCGAGAAUAGCGUGUUCCGUAUUACGAUAACGAUUCGCGUAUUUGUACUUGAGUCUGUUUCUACAGUUUGUUAAUUUUUUUCAAAAAGAAGAAGACGUUUUAUCGAACGUCGGAUUUCCUAAUUUUCAUGGGAAUUUCAAUGAAGAUAAUAAGGAAGUUUUUCUUUUUUGUUCCAAUUAAUAAUAUUUGGUAUUGAUAUUUCUUUUUAAAGUCAAUAUUCAGUUUUCUUCAUCAAAUUAUUGAAUCAAAAUAUUUAAUGAAAAUAAAAAAAAAAAAAGAGGUGAAGCUGGUCCAAAUUCGGCGAAACUGCUGUUAUUAUAUUUCAUAUAAAGAGUGCAAAUUCCGAUCACCGAUCGAGGAUCGAGGGUAUUUAAGCCCGGUAUCAACGACGUCGUAACACUUUACAGAAACGACGGGAACGAUAAAAUUUCAGAUUCGUCGGAUCAUUACGAUCUAAAUAUGAGAGGAAAUAUAACCCUAAUCGGCUCUGGGGUACCCGAGGGAGGUGCAAUAAUCGGGAACGAUCCCCGUACGGCCAUGAAUUAAUUCCGCCCGGAUAAUUCUCCAUUAUUCAACCCACGAAAUGAUAUUUCGAUUCGAGAGCACGCACUCGAUCCACGCAAUAGAAUUUUAGAAUUAUAAUUUAUAAAUUGACAAAUAUUACAACCCUCUCCCAAGGAACAAAAAUACUUCCCACCCAAAAAAAUUGUCUCACCUCCUCCUUACCAAAUUCCCCCACGUAAAAAUAAAACCAACCAACAAUCUUUUUACUUAUAAUUUAUUUCCAAAUACAAAGCACUCGAGAACAACCACGGAAAAUACGGAGCUACAUCUAUUCACGAGAAACCUAGCCGAGGCUUCCUAUGAAAUCCAAAGCUCUUCUCAUUUCGCGAACGAAAUCUGGGGGGAGAGGGAGGAGGGAAUGGGAAGGGAGUCGAUGCAGCCACCUUAGCGGAGGACGAAACCAUUUUAAUACCGUCGCUUUAAUUACAAAUGAGACUGACGCAACGCGAAAAACAAGCUCACCGGCACGACGGAAGAGGGGGAAGGGGGUUGGUUGGCCAGGUCUCAUAAAGCGUCUACGGCAUUAUGCUCUGUCCGCGGUAACUUCUCCCAAAAGCGUCGGUGCAAUCAGCAAUUCCCGCGAUACCACACCACCAACAAGGGCAACGCCAGACACAGGGUCGAGGGGGAAGCUGGACUGGGUAAUCGCGGCUCCGAACACGCUAGGGUUGAUAGGGGGCGACGGAUAGGAGAGGUCGAGGCAAAUCUCAGAAUUUAAUAUCCUUCGAAGAGGUAUGUAAUAUCCCCUAAAAGCCUCGCCUUCCCCUAAGAUCCCAGAUAGAUCCUGGUGUCGCGCGAAAAACUUGCGUACGCACGCGGGUUUCUCGCUCAAAAAAUCAUCGAAAGAGAAGGUGCACACGCUUUUUCGUGGAUGCCUCUGCUUAUUUUUCUUUCUUGCCGAGGAACUCUACGAAGGAACGAGGGAAAGAGAUGGAAAGAGAUGGAAAGAAAAGAUUAUUGCUUCGUAUAUAUAUAUGUAUAUAUGUGUUAUCGCAAGAACGGGUGUAUAAGGUGAAAAAUGAUUCUGGGAAUACGUGAGAAUUUCGAAUGCGAUGAUACUUUAGGCAAGAUUGUACGUCGUGCGUGUAAGAAAACACGUGUAUUGGAGGAGAGUCAGCAAAGAGAUUAAAAAAAGAUCAGGAUCUUUUUGAUAAACGAGAAGUGCGUGUUAAUAAAAUAUAUCCCUACGUUAUUGUAUUUAAUUAAUUAUCUGUAUCUGAUUAAUUACAGAUCUUCGCCUGUGAAAUCAUUUAACAGAAGACGCACACGUGAAUAUACACACGUUCUCUUCCGUUCUUUUUACGCCACAUUUCGAGAAAUGGAAUAAAAAUUAUUGUUAAAC